rnacentral:misc_RNA from 1 species
UCGUACAUAUAUAUAUAUCACUAGCGGAACCGAACAUACCCGAACAGCCGAAGUUACACGAAGUGCCAGUGCUCUCCCCUUACCGCUAAUCUCAGCUUCCCCUCGUAAAAGGCUCCGUCCAUAUAUUCCUAUGUCAAUGAUUUCACCACGAUGAUAGCGCAGUGACAUGUUUUCAGUGUAAAGAACUGUUUUAGCGGUAAUAACAAAUAAGUAUAUAGAUCUUCCUUUAUACAUUAAAAUCGCUACGCUUCAAAAUGCAGGUAUAAAGUGUUGGCAACAAAUAUUCAAUCUAUUGAAGCUCGAAAAUGGUUUCCGUGUUGGGACGAGCCGGAAUUUAAAACAACAUUUCAAAUUCAUUUCCAUCAUAACGUAAAGUAAACUAUCAGAUAUGGGCAACCUUGUCAACUGAAAGAUAUACACUAGAUGAUAAUAAACAAAACUGGAUGUGGACAAAUUUUAACAUUUCAUACCCAAUAUCAACUUAUCAAGUGAUGUUUACACUAACUGAUUUAGAUCUUGAAUAUCACAAGGUUGUGUAUCAUCCUACAAUGGAACUUUUGAACACAAAUCUGUUUUGUCCGAUAUGGAGUAGAUCUAAGGUGGAAAAGUUUAUUAAACCCUCAGGUGUUAUGAGUGAGUAUAUUCUACAUUCUGACUGGUACCGCAAAAUUUCUAAAACUGUCACGUGUAUAGAGCAACUUGCAAUUCCGACUAUGCCAGUGGAUGUCAUGGCAAAAUGGAGGCUCAUUCUUUAUAAAGAAUCGCUUGUCACUUAUAAUGAAGAAACAGAUAGCAGUGCUCAGGAAAGAGAGCUAGCACACACAGUAGCACAUGGAAUGGUACAUCAGGUGAUAGAUAGUGCAAUCACACCAUCGUGGUGGUCUCACUUAUGGUUGAAUGAAGGGUUUGCCGCUCUUCUUCAUGUGGAAAUUCUGGAUGAGAUUUUUCUGAAAUGGAAAUUUGUGGAUUUGUUCGUGGUUCAAGUUCAGCAAGACUGUCUUCAUCUCGAUACAGAUUUCACUAUGAAACCUCUUUCGUAUGAAGUCCGAACACCAUCAGAAAUUAAAUCACUUUUCUCUUUCCCAAUUUAUAUCAAAGCACCUGUCAUAUUGCUCAUGAUACAACAUAUUAUGGGCAAGGAGUUUCAAGAUAUUAUCAAGAAUUACACGAACACUUACUUUCGUAAGUCUCCUACGCCCGAUGAUUUAUGGAAUAUGAUGCAAGUUAACUUAGAUAAUCCAGAACUAGGUAAUCCUACCAUGAAAGAUAUAAUGGAGAACUGGGUAAGAGAAAAUAAUUAUCCUAUUGUAAAUGUUCGUCGAACUGAACUUACGCUGGAAAUAUCUCAAGAUGAAUGCAUCAAUGAACACUAUCAGCAAAAAGCACUUCAAUGGAUACCUAUCACUUUCACUACAUGGGAACAGUUAGACUUCGAUAAUACGACUCCUCAUCACUGGAUACCUCCAAAGGAUAGCACAAAGUAUAAUAUAUCUAUCUCACUUACUAAUAAGAAUGGAUGGAUCAUACUAAAUUUACAACAAACAGGAUACUAUCGUGUAAAGUACGAUAACAAGAGCUUAAAUGCAAUUACAUACUAUUUAAGGUUUUUGAAAUAUAUUGAUAUUCAUGUUCUUAAUCGCGCUCAACUCAUUGAUGAUACAUAUUAUUUCUUGAAGAGAGGAGAAGUUACAUAUGACAGGUUUUUACGUCUCAUAAACUAUUUGCGCGAAGAGAGGGAUUAAGUAGCAUGGUAUCCAAUGUUUCAAAUUUUUAGAGACAUCGCAUUUCUUACCAUUUGAAGAGAGCAAAACUUUAAAGUGUUUGGAUAUUACAUGAAUAAUUAAUAUCAAGAGAAUAUCGAAAUAUAUGCAUUAAUAUCAAUUACAAUGUGCAAAAACCGUAAGUAAAACUAACAGUGCAGAAAAUGUGUAACGUUAAUACGUACCUGUUUUAUACGUGUUACAUACAUAGAUUAAAACAUGUCGUAAAAUUAUAAAUGAUGUAGGAAGAUAUUUGUGUCAUACAUGUAUAGCCUGUAUGCUGUAUAUGGAAUAUACUACCAAUUCAACUGAACAAAUGCAAAAAAGUUUGGAGUUAUAUAUUGUUUAUUGAAAUAAUAAAGGAUUAAUAACUUUCCAUAUUUACUUUUAUAAAGAACAAAACAUUUAUAUGAUGGUCAUAUCAUUUUUAACAACUUUUAUAGGAAGAUAUGCGGUUGAUUUUGAAAGGUUUGCUCGAAAACAUAUACAAAGAAAAGUCCCAGGAAGACGAUCUUACUAAGUGGUUGGCCAAGAGGCUGUAAGAUGGGCAUGUAUUUUUGGUAAUACAGAGUGUCAAGAAAUUGCGAAUGCUAGAUUGAAGGAAUACCUACAAGAUUCCUACAUAAUGCAGCACAAGUAAUUCCUGCAAUUACAUUCUUUCUGUGGUGGUAUUUCUCUUGUAUAAUACAUGAAAUUCGAGACAAUUAAUAGUCGCAAAUGCGGAAGUUUUUGAAAAAAGCAUUAACUGUUUGUUAAAUCGUAUAUGUAUAAUGAUUAUAUUAUGGUUUGUGCAAAAUUUUCUACAGGUUAGUAUUAUUAAUUGUAGUUGUAUUAUACUUUGUUUCUGCAUAUAUAUGUACAUGCGAAUAUGAAAGUUAUGAAUAGUACAAUAUAUAUAACAUUGUGAGGACAGACCAAACGUAAUAUAUUCCUUAGUCUUCGCUCUUAAUUUGCUUUAAAAUAUUUGUAUUGUUUCUUUUGGUUCUUGCAAUUUCAUCUUGUCAGAAUGAUUUUUUGUUACUUAUAGAUGUAGAUGUUGUUACUAUAUGUUAUUUGUUGCAUAUAUUAUCGUUUCUUCGUCAGCAUGUUGUCGGGAAAUUUUUAAAUUUUACGAAAUCUGUUAAUAAUUAAUUGUAUCAUCAUAAUAAAAACUUUGUUAUCG